GCACUCUUGAUGUAACUGGUAACAUGACAGUCUCCAAAACUGUUCUUUGGGGUUCGAAUCCUUAAGAGUGUGCUUA
rnacentral:tRNA from 1 species